rnacentral:piRNA from 1 species
UGCUAGCAAGGUGGUGAAAGGAAA